GAUGAACGCUGGCGGCGUGCUUAACACAUGCAAGUCGAACGAAGCACCUUAUUCUGAUUUCUUCGGAAUGAAAAAUUUGGUGACUGAGUGGCGGACGGGUGAGUAACGCGUGGGUAACCUGCCUCAUACAGGGGGAUAACAGUUAGAAAUGACUGCUAAUACCGCAUAAGACCACAGCACCGCAUGGUGCAGGGGUAAAAACUCCGGUGGUAUGAGAUGGACCCGCGUCUGAUUAGGUAGUUGGUGGGGUAACGGCCUACCAAGCCGGCGAUCAGUAGCCGACCUGAGAGGGUGACCGGACACAUAGGGACUGAGACACGGCCCAAACACCUACGGGAGGCAGCAGUGGGGAAUAUUGCACAAUGGGGAAAACCCUGAUGAAGCGACGCCGCGUGAGCGAUGAAGUAUUUCGGUAUGUAAAGCUCUAUCAGCAGGGAAGAAAAUGACGGUACCUGGCUAAGAAGCACCGGCUAAAUACGUGCCAGCCGCCGCCGUAA
rnacentral:rRNA from 1 species